rnacentral:pre_miRNA from 1 species
GUACUACUCCCUCCGUCCGGAAAUACUUGUCGGGGAAAUGGAUAAAAUUGAAUGUAUCUAGAACUAAAAUAUUUCUAGAUACAUCCAUUUCUCCGACAAGUAUUUUUGAACGGAGUGAGUACUUU